CUUCGAUCUUCAUAUUUUUUUUUCCUCCUCCUCAAAAAUUGUACAACAAAAUUAUAAUUCCACAAUCCUGCGUCUUUUUUAUUCUUAUGAUAUUGUUCAGGAAAUUUUUGUUCUUCUGCUUCAUUUUCCGUUGCUUUUGGUUGAAUUGACUAAAAGUAGACAAUGGUAUUAAGAGGAAUGCAAGAUUCUUAAAAGUCAGAGAGCCAGUGAUAUUUUCAUAUGACAUGCCCUGCAUAGAGGUGUAAGAGUUAUUGAAUUGGAGAUAUGCCCAGAUUUUGUCAGAGAUGUGGAAGUUCUGCAUGUAAGAUUGCAGUAAUGGCAGGUCAUUUUAUUGACGCAGGUAGCACGCAGGUGUUCAAAAUGCUAUCUUUUUAAAUUUGAGAUUUUUUAAACUAGAAUUACAUGAGUUUUAGCACUUUAAUUGAUUUGAAAUUAAUUACUACACUGGGGUUAAUUUUGUACCUUUCCUUUGCCAAA